AGAGUUUGAUCAUGGCUCAGGACGAACGCUGGCGGCGCGCCUAAUGCAUGCAAGUCGAGCGACGCACAUCGGAGGGGUAACCCACCGAUAUGACGGAGCGGCGAACGGGUGAGUAACACGUGAGCAACCUGCCCCACAGACCGGGAUAGCCCAGGGAAACUUGGAUUAAUACCGGAUAUCCUCGCGGAACCACAUGGCUCUUUGAGGAAAUGCCUUUGUGCUGUGGGAUGGGCUCGCGGCUUAUCAGCUAGUUGGUGGGGUAACGGCCUACCAAGGCAUCGACGAGUAGCUGGUCUGAGAGGACGAUCAGCCACACUGGGACUGAGACACGGCCCAGACUCCUACGGGAGGCAGCAGCAGGGAAUCUUGCGCAAUGGGCGAAAGCCUGACGCAGCGACGCCGCGUGGGGGAUGAAGGCCUUCGGGUUGUAAACCCCUUUCAGGAGGGACGAAAUUGACGGUACCUCCAAAAGAGCCCGCC
rnacentral:rRNA from 1 species